rnacentral:rRNA from 1 species
AGAAUCAACGCUGGCGGCGUGCCUAACACAUGCAAGUCGAACGAGAAAGUGGAGCAAUCCAUGAGUAAAGUGGCGCACGGGUGAGUAACACGUGACUAACCUGCCCUUGAGUGGGGGAUAACCUAGAGAAAUCUGGGCUAAUACCGCAUAAUACCUUCGGGUCAAAGGAGCAAUUCGCUUAAGGAGGGGGUCGCGGCCGAUUAGUUAGUUGGCGGGGUAAUGGCCCACCAAGACUAUGAUCGGUA